rnacentral:lncRNA from 1 species
CCAGCCUGGGCAAGGACCAGCGGGCACUGGUCAGCGUCCAUGCCCUGCUCUGGAUGGACACCCUGCAGCAGCGGGAGCACCUCCGGGAAUUCCGCAUCCAGUCCCAGGCGUGGUUCAGCACCUCGGCCAUGCCCUACCGCGUCCAGCCCCGGCUCCUGCCCAGCGGCCACGCUGAGACCGAGACGUGCGUGGUGCGCGCCAGCCCUGGCGGCGAGGGGGCUGUGCCGGUGGGGUGGGUGGUGCUGGG